rnacentral:rRNA from 1 species
GACGAACGCUGGCGGCGUGCUUAACACAUGCAAGUCGAACGGAAAGGCCCUGCUUUUGUGGGGUGCUCGAGUGGCGAACGGGUGAGUAACACGUGAGUAACCUGCCCUUGACUUUGGGAUAACUUCAGGAAACUGGGGCUAAUACCGGAUAGGAGCUCCUGCUGCAUGGUGUGGGUUGGAAAGUUUCGGCGGUUGGGGAUGGACUCGCGGCUUAUCAGCUUGUUGGUGGGGUAGUGGCUUACCAAGGCUUUGACGGGUAGCCGGCCUGAGAGGGUGACCGGCCACAUUGGGACUGAGAUACGGCCCAGACUCCUACGGGAGGCAACAGUGGGGAAUAUUGCACAAUGGGCGGAAGCCUGAUGCAGCAACGCCGCGUGCGGGAUGACGGCCUUCGGGUUGUAAACCGCUUUCGCCUGUGACGAAGCGUGAGUGACGGUAAUGGGUAAAGAAGCAGCGGCUAACUACGU